rnacentral:lncRNA from 10 species
GGAAAUGGAGAUGUCUCUUCUCACAAUAUCUGCUAAUCAGGAUUGUUCAGGGCCUUGUGCAAUUAAUUUUAGCUUUCAAAAAAGAAAUAAUUUCUCAGAACUCCAUGGUGAGGAAAUAGGUCAUACUCAUUAGCAUAGUCAUAGAGGAAGAACAGUGUUUAAUAAUAGGCCUGGCUGAAAUAGGCUAGCAGUGAAACUAGAAGGGCAAAAUUAUUCUGUUAAUGAAGAAUUAAUGAAGAUUUUCGAGUUUCCUUAGGUAACCCAAGAAGAAAGGUGUGAAAAAGGAAGGAGUGAAUGAGAUAAGAAUGGGGAGGAGGAUGUGAGGAAGGAAUACAUCAAGAUGCCAGGGAGCUGAGCAAGAGGCAGCCAGGGAGAAGUUCUGGGCUAUGGCCAAGGAUCUUUAAAGAGCAAGGAUCUUUAAAUAGUCAGUUUUAAGAUGUUUGGUGCAGCCUAAAUUCCUCUUCCUCUUCCCCUGCCUGAAUCUUCCGUAAGAAUCUACUACACAGAGAUGCCUUGUAUCUGCAGCAUUUUGAGAAGAGGGAAAGAGGCUGUUGCUUUGGGAAUGAUGCAGAGUGGAGAAAAAGAACAGCCAAAAGAGGCUAGACUUGAGAGAAAUUACAGUAAUUCAGUAAAAGCAGGAAAUAAUAGAAAAACAUUGACUCCAAAGAUCCUGGAAGGUGCCAGCAAGUGAGGUUAGGUUUCCCACUGUAGAUGUAAUGGAAACAUGGUUUCCCCACCAACUUCGAGGCUUGAGAGCAUUCAGAAAAAGUUUGGUCAACCUUGUAGGGGAACCAGCCCGCUAUACCACCCGCGGGUUCUCCCCUUCCCAGUGGAGACGAGGGAAUGAGAAAAGAAAUAAAGACAAACACACAAAGUUCAAGAGUUAACAAAAGUGGGUCCAGGGGUCCAUCGCAAUGUGGAAACUGCGACAGCCCUGAGCUCUGGAUUCCACUGAUAUUUACUGAAUCCUAUAGGCUGAGGGUGGGCAGAUGGUGGGGUGAUCACAGGGUGACCAUGGGGAGAGGUGGCAGAGGGGGUAGCAUGCGUCAUCAGCAAGUUAAUAUUAUUUACUGUUCCACUGUAUAAGCUAAUACUCUAUGUUUAACUUACAGAUAAUCCUUAAAGUCCAACUAAUUGGUUAACAGAACAGGACGUGAAAGCAGACAGCCCGUCAGACCACAGGCCUGUGCAUCAAAGGAGCGGUCCACUCCAAGCACCAUCAGCAGGGCAGCAGAGCUCUCUGCCUCUGGGAACGAGCGAGAGAUAGAAGACUUUCCCCUUAUCCUCAGAGGACUUCUCCUCUUUUACAAGCAACCUCCUGCUGUUCCCUUCUGGGGAAUGGAGCAGGGGUCGCUUCCCUUCCCACAAGACCUUUGUUCAGGGACUCAAGUGGGAGGUUGAGCAAUAAGCAAGCUUUCUUGCUUAGAGGCUCCGCACACUUCCUGUGGUUGUUUGUUCCACCCUGCAGUUAGGCAAGCAAGCUCACCGCCUGAUUCUUAUAUUGUCGGACUAAGCAGAAGCUAUUCUUAUGAUUCAUGACUAUAUUAAUAAAGCACUAUUCUAAAGCAUAUUUUGUUAAUCCUUAAACAGGCACACCAUAGGCCAGCCCUCAACCACCUCGGCCCACAUCCAAGCCCCUGUUUUGACCCACAUUUCCCCCAUUUUUUAAAUUUAAAACAGCCAUCUCAAUCAUAACUUGCUUGUGGUUUUGAUUUUCUUUCAGGAGCUGCCUUCCGCAUCUGCAGACUAAAAACAGACAACAUAAGCAGACACAAAUUAAAACAAAAUUAGCAAUGGCAGAGCUUCCCAGAGUUUUAAUCCAUUUGAUAGAAUUGAGCUCCGAGAGCCUAUCUGCAGCUCCAGCAAGCAUUUCUGCUCCAGGCAACAAAUUUAAGUGAGCCUGCGAUGCUGCAAAAAUCUGUUCUUUUAAUUUAGUUAUAUCCAGGGUUAGAUUAUCUUCUCUUCCUUGUAAGUGGCAUCAGACCUUUUCCCACUGAUGUUCAGUAACAUUAUAAGAAUAAGGAGUAAUACAAAAAGCAGAUGUAUUCCAAUCACAUUGCAUUUGCAUACGAUGCUCUAAAUGCAUAAAACGAUCUCUUAUCCAGGUGACUGUUUGCCUCAAAUCAUUAAUUUGAUUGGCCAACUUCUGAUCAAUUUUUGCCUGAGAAUUCCAUAAUCUGGUGGAAUUUUUCUGCCAGGCAUUAACAUAAUGAGCAGUUUGAAUGGAAGAAUGCAAGGCAACACCUGCCACAGCCGCGGUGGUGGUGACAGCAAUCAAGCCCAUAAUCACAGCAAUUAAAGUAAAAAUAAAUCUUAUUGUACGAUUAAGAAUCCCUUUUAAAACUCCAGUUAUUACAUGAAUAGAGGGAAAAGUCUCCCAAGGCCUAUUAAGAGUAACUGGAAUCCAAACGCCCUCUCGUGCUCGGACCAGCAAAAUGCUAUUCCUCAUAUCAAAAGUAGAAUGAAUACAAGUAAACAGAUGGCAAUUGUCACAAGUAAUGGUUUGAGAGUCAGGUAAAAUGAUAAGUUUUCCAACAACUAACAUGUAAGGAGGUUUAACACAACUUUGAAGAGAAAUAGACUGAUUAGACUGAAGAAGCAUGGUAAACAGUAGCUUAUUACCUCUUGUUCCCCAUGAUGCUUCCCCUUUCCACACUCUCAUUCCGGAGGUAGCCAUAAGCAACUUCCACAAUUCUGGAUGUUCCAGACCCAUGACUGGACUAAUUAUCUUUGGCCAGGGAGGAGCAGUACCUUUAUCUUCCCAUUUCAAUGGAUAUAGUGAUUCCAAUCUUCUAACUAAAGUGGGGGGAUUAUUGGGACUUUCUCUAUAAUCUAUCAUGAAGGAAUCCUCAGCGCACCCAGCAUUUUGUCCAGUGCAAUUUCUGGCAAAGGAUCCUUUGGGGGCCCAAUCUAUAAUUAUUCCAUAAGAAUCCUUUUGCAAAACUACUGCACCAUCUGCUACACAGUUGUCCCAAGCAAGAAUCUCUAGUUUUUCUGACCAUUUUGGAUUUCUUUUAGGACAAGCCAGUCCUUGAGAUUUGUAAUUUUUUACUUUUAAAUUUGACCGAAAAUAACCAUCCCCAUAAGUUUUUACAGUCAUGAUAGGUUGGAAAGACAUUCCACUCACUACGUGAUAACUGGGUUGGGAACGAUUAUGAGGAGGUACAUAGAUUAUCCAACUAUGUAUUUGCAAUGGUAAACAUCAAGGAGCAAUUCCUAAACAAAUUGGAGGGUAUUCAUACCAGUUACAUUCAUCAACAUACCCUCCUUCUCAGGCUGUGCAGGACAGCCAUCAUCAAUCGGCCCAGGCAUCCAAAAUACUAUCAUUUGUAUAAACUUCAAUAGGGGAAUCCAUCCAAGUAACUGGCCUAAUUAAAGGAGGAAAUGGAACAGAAGCCAGUAUGUAAAAUUUUCUUCAGUCCAGACAGCAGGGAGACUUACCGCCGCGGUAAUUACCAUCAAGGCAGCCAAGAUCAUAUUACCCGGGAUAAUUGCCAGUUGUUUCUCCUUUAGGCUGCCCUCUGCCAUUUGAGUCAGCU